AGACGCUAGAGCAGUGCCCAGCAGGUGGCUGGUGCUCAGUACAGUUUGAUUGACUUGAAUGAAUGAAUGAAUGAAUGAAUGAAUGGAUGGAUGGAUGGAUGAAUGAAUGAAUAUCACCAGCAGCAGUGUGAGUGUGGCAAACUGAGGUAGAGGUCAGAAGGAGGAUCCUGAGACAGUGUCCAUGGGACUUUUAGAAGACCAGCUAACAAACCUAGAAGAUAAGAAGAGAAAAUUUGUCUGCCCAUAUAGAAUCCUCACCACUGGCCCUCCCCCAUCCAGGAGCCUAACUUCACCUUCCCUCUCCCUGGAUGUCUGCUUCAGCAGGACAUCUGGAAGAUACCUGUUAGGGAACUUCUGAAACUCUUGAAGUUUCUGACUCUUGGCAGAACCCUUGGAUAACUUCAGGAUGGGGGCUAGUCUCCAGAAAGAUCAACCAGGUGAUUAGAAGAUUGGGGCUUUGAGCCACAUGAUGAGACCAGUCAACUCUUCCUCCCAGCCUUCUGGAAGGGCAGAAGACAGGGACUGGAGAUAGAGCUCGAUCAUGUGGCCAAGGAUUUAAUCAAACAUACUUCCAUAAUGAAAUAUCAGAAAAACUCAGAUGCUUGAGCUAGGAGAAGCUCCUUGUUGUUGAACACAACAAUAUGCCGGGAGUGUGAUGCAUCCUGACUCCCCAUGGAGAGGGCAGGGAAGCUCUGUGUUCCCUCCCAGACCUCCGUGUCUUGGCAUUUGGCUGG